CAGUGUCUGCCAAGUAAGCCAGACUUCCAUUCAAGAACAGCCAAAUACAUGUUAUUUAAAAAUAUACAUAAGGGUGAUGUCAGCCUCAUGACAGAAUGAGCUCUUCCCUUAGACUCUUCUCCCUAGGAAAUAAUGAAAAGGAAAUUCAUAAACCAACAUGGGACAUUCACACAACACAAAAGAAGUCUGAGAGACCCACACAGCCAUGCAUCUGAACAUGGAGGUGCUAGACCCCUGGAGGAAGAGGAUGGAGAAAGGAAUUUAGAAGAGAAAGAUCUGAUUCUUUGGCCACAGUUCAAAGACAUGAGAUACAAUUCAGGGGCUGUGAUCGUGAACCUGGACAUCAUGACACAGGUUAAAAGCUGGAGAAGACUGAUUAGUCAGCCCAUGUCUCCUAAGCAUGAUGAAAGCCGAUCAUGUCCUUGGGUACAUACACAAUGGAGCAGUUUCCAGACUAUAGAGAUGGAUUUCAAGCUACCUCUGACCAGUAGUUUUCUUAAAUAAAUGACAUUUUUAUCUGUCACACUUCACCAGCGGAGGAAUGAGGAAAAGAGCAGGGAGAUAUUGAAGGACUUAAGGUUAAAAGAUCUAUGAAAGAGUGGUCCACUUCUGCUGACCUUGGCCAGUAUGCAGCCCUCUGCUGGAUGGAAGAGUCAGUGCUGCCUGAGAAAAGAGCAGAGGGCUCCGAGGAAGCAAGAACAACGAACAGAUGCCUGAGGAAGAAACCACCAGGAACUCAGACUUUCACUGGCUGCCUAGAAAUGCAAAAGCAAAAAGAAAAUAAAACAGGCAAGAAGAUUUCAUACAAAAGCAAAACUGCACUUGAAAAUGGAAGAAUGUUAACAUAGAACAGACUGCAUCAUUUUUUAUCUCUCAGUCAGUUAUGUUGUAAAAUUGUAAGAUGCUGUUGAAGUAAUUCAAUCAAAUAAAGUAAAAGUAAUAUUGAU
rnacentral:lncRNA from 1 species